rnacentral:rRNA from 1 species
GACGAACGCUGGCGGCGUGCUUAACACAUGCAAGUCGAACGGAAAGGCCCUGCUUUUGUGGGGUGCUCGAGUGGCGAACGGGUGAGUAACACGUGAGUAACCUGCCCUUGACUUUGGGAUAACUUCAGGAAACUGGGGCUAAUACCGGAUAGGAGCUCCUGCUGCAUGGUGGGGGUUGGAAAGUUUCGGCGGUUGGGGAUGGACUCGCGGCUUAUCAGCUUGUUGGUGGGGUAGUGGCUUACCAAGGCUUUGACGGGUAGCCGGCCUGAGAGGGUGACCGGCCACAUUGGGACUGGGAUACGGCCCAGACUCCUACGGGAGGCAGCAGUGGGGAAUAUUGCACAAUGGGCGGAAGCCUGAUGCAGCAACGCCGCGUGCGGGAUGACGGCCUUCGGGUUGUAAACCGCUUUCACCUGUGACGAAGCGUGAGUGACGGUAAUGGGUAAAGAAGCACCGGCUAACUACGUG